ACGAACGCUGGCGGCGUGCUUAACACCUGCAAGUCGAACGGUGAAGCGCCUUCCUUUUUGGUGGGUGUGGAUGAGUGGCGAACGGGUGAGUAACACGUGAGUAACCUGCCCCCUUCUUCUGGAUAACCGCAUGAAAGUGUGGCUAAUACGGGAUAUUCUGGGUCUGUCGCAUGAUGGGUCUGGGAAAGAUAUUGUUUCGGUGGGGGAUGGGCUCGCGGCCUAUCAGCUUGUUAGUGGGGUGAUGGCCUACCAAGGCGGUGACGGGUAGCCGGCCUGAGAGGGUGGACGGUCACACUGGGACUGAGACACGACCCAGACUCCUACGGGAGGCAGCAGUGGGGAAUAUUGCACAAUGGGCGCAAGCCUGAUGCAGCGACGCCGCGUGGGGGAUGGAGGCCUUCGGGUUGUGAACCUCUUUCGCCAGUGAAGCAGGCCUGCCUCGUUUGUGGGUGGGUUGACGGUAGCUGGAGAAGAAGCGCCGGCUAACUACGUG
rnacentral:rRNA from 1 species